rnacentral:rRNA from 1 species
UACGUAGGGUGCGAGCGUUAAUCGGAAUUACUGGGCGUAAAGCGCGGGCAGGCGGUCUUGCCAGUCUGAUGUGAAAUCUCCCCGCUCAACGGGGAGCAGCCAUUGGAAACUACAAGACUGGAGUCUGACAGAGGUAGGCGGAAUUCCGGGUGGAGUGGUGAAAUGCGUAGAGAUCCGGAGGAACACCAGAGGCGAAGGCGGCCUACUGGGUCAGUACUGACGCUGAGCCGCGAAAGCCAGGGGAGCGAACGGG